AGGAUAAACGCUGGCGGCGUGCAUGAGACAUGCAAGUCGAACGGACGAUCAGGGCUUGCUCUGAUCGUUAGUGGCGGACGGCUGAGUAACGCGUAGGUGACCUGCCCCGAAGUGGGGAAUAACUGCCCGAAAGGGUGGCUAAUACCGCAUGUGGUGGUGUGUUCAAUCACACCAGUAAAGCCGCAAGGCGCUUCGGGAGGGGCCUGCGUCCGAUUAGCUCGUUGGUGGGUAACGGCUCACCAAGGCGACGAUCGGUAGGUGGUCUGAGAGGACGAUCACCAAGACUGGGACUGAGACACGGCCCAGACUCCUACGGGAGGCAGCAGUCGGGAAUUUUGCGCAAUGGACGAAAGUCUGACGCAGCAACGCCGCGUGAGGGAUGAAGGCCUUCGGGUUGUAAACCUCUUUUCUCAGGGAAGAUACAAGACGGUACCUGAGGAAUAAGCCACGGCUAACUACGUGCCAGCAGCCGC
rnacentral:rRNA from 1 species